AUACACUGUAUUAGCUAAUUUAGUACAAAUCAAUCUAGUGUUUGGUAUUAUUUAGUAAUAAUGCAGAUGACCCGGUUUAAUCCCACGACCCUGUAUUAUUAAUCCGGAUUUCUUAGAAUUAAUAAUACCACCUCCCCCUAGGAUUAACUUAAACCAAAAUAUUCUGUAUUUAGCCAUGAUAGCAAACACCAACUCAAUAUUAAUAAUCUGUCAUUAUCCACGCUAAAUAUCCUGGUUACAAAUUAUCCUACAUAAUCCUUUACUGAAAACCAAACGAGCCAUCAGAGUAUUUUUAAUAAAGUGGGUAUAGUUUAAAGGUUUUCAUGAUAUUUACCCUUAAAGAAACAUGGCUUUAAAAAAAUUGUUAAAAAAAGGAAAGAUCAUUAUACAUUGUAUAGUAUCUAGUAUGAAUAUAUAUUAUAGUACUAGUAAAUUAGUAAUUCUUGAGGAC
rnacentral:lncRNA from 1 species